GGAGGGAUGGCCGAGUGGUUGAAGGCGGCGGUCUUGAAAACCGUUGAGCGUAAUGCUCCGUGGGUUCGAAUCCUACUCCCUCCGCCA
rnacentral:tRNA from 1 species